UAUGUGAUUAUGAUCUUCAGGCUUUGCCUAUCCAGGUGGGCAUUACUUUUACUAUACGUAUAUAGAGAUCCCCUGCGUGUCGUAGGCCUCUUAUACGAAUAUAUGCAUGAGAUGAUUUUAACUGUUGAUUUCAGUUUUAUUAUUAUGCCCAAAUGAUAAAUGACUCUUAUGAAAUAAAAAUGAAAUGUUUAUGAAAUGAAAUGAAAUGUUUAUGAAAUGAUUGACUGCCAAAAAUGUUUAUGUUUUUAUAUGUAUCCUAUCUGUGUUGGUUCGCCAACUUUAAAGGAAAUCCAAUUGGGAUCCUAUGCUAGACAAAGGUCGCUAGCUAGGGUUAACGUGUACACUCAUGGAGACCGCGAGUCGCUUGCGACCGGUCUUGGCGUCCGUGGUAAGGAGGCCUCCUUCCCGGCGCGUGAUAGAAAGGAACAGAUAUGGAUCAUAUGAAGGAAAAUGAUCGGCCGAUCGACUUUAUGAAAAUGAAAGAAAUGUUUUAGUAAGCGCAGGUCUUUCAAGAAAACCCCUGUGUGUUACUGCUAUGGCAGUUCAAUUUAUAUAUAUGUUAUGCAUGAUUGUAUUUUCGGCUAUGCCCACUGAGUAUUUUUAUACUCAGCCCUGCAUGUAUUUCUAAAUGUGCAGGUUGAGCAGCUGAUGGAAUGGAAUGAUGUUGAGCGGGUGUUCCUUUGACAUUUCAAGAAAUGUAACCUUGAGUAUACAUCUUCAUAUGUAUAUCUCACACGUUUUCCGCUGCAAAACACUUUGAUUAGGAUAACUUUAUGUUAUGAAAUUGUGACACGUGUUAUUGGGUAACCCACCU
rnacentral:lncRNA from 1 species